AGUAUUAUUUAUGUCUUUUGAAUACAGUGAAGCAAACAAUGAGAGAAAAUUAACAAGUCAUAGAUAUAAAAGAUAUCUAAGCUUUAGUAAUAUAUCACAUUUCUUUGUUCGUUUCAACUUUCGAGACAAUAUGGUACCUUGGAACCAGUACUUCGCGCACGCAGUGGGUUUCAAAGUAUCUUGGGACGAACCGCCUGAUUCCUUCCAUCCGUAUCAUCAUCUGCACAGGAGAACCGUUUACAAUAAUCUGGAAACAUUAUUAAAUAGAAAUGGUUUUGAAGGAUUUCACUGCGUACGCCGAGCGAUA